rnacentral:rRNA from 1 species
AACGAACGCUGGCGGCAGGCCUCAAACAUGCAAGUCUAGGGGGUGUAGCAAUACAUCACCGGCGGACGGGUGCGUAACGCGUGGGAAUAUACCUAUUGGUUCGGAACAACACAGGGAAACUUGUGCUAAUACCGAAUGUGCCCUUACGGGGAAAGAUUUAUCGCCAAUGGAUUAGCCCGCGUCCGAUUAGCUAGUUGGUGAGGUAACGGCUCACCAAGGCUCCGAUCGGUAGCUGUUCUGAGAGGAAGAUCAGCCACACUGGGACUGAGACACGGCCCAGACUCCUACGGGAGGCAGCAGUUGGGAAUCUUGGACAAUGGGGGAAACCCUGAUCCAGCCAUGCCGCGUGAGUGAUGAAGGCCUUCGGGUUGUAAAACUCUUUCGACGGGGACGGAUAAUGACGGUACCCGUACGAAGAAGACUCCGGCUAACUUCGUG